AAUGCAGAGGCGCGGGUACGAAGAACGGUCGGUGGAGAUGAAAAAGCAUUGAUGAUCCCGUCGGAAGGCGUGCUUGCCGAAGCUGGGCGUAACUUUUUUUGCGUUUGGCUGGAUCUGAACUCAAUAGGUUUAGGGCUGUCGUCGGAGAAAACCGUCGUUGUGCUGU
rnacentral:ncRNA from 1 species